rnacentral:lncRNA from 1 species
AUGAGCUGGCACCAACCGACAACCUGGGCCCCAACCUCCAACAAGAUCGAACAGCUGGGCGUGGGGGGAACGGACAAGCGUGGUGCUCUUCUGAGCCGAGUGUCCCAGGCCUCACAGCUGCAGGCAGCACUGCACAUCCCGGCUGCAACUGGAGAAAUCAAGGGCUGCCCUCUGGGGGUUGCAGGGUGGAGGGGGUAUUGGCAGCAUUCCAAAGGAGGGCCCACCCCAAACUCCACUGCUUCUCAUGUGGGGAUAAAAAAGUGUGUCCUCUACUGCUGCAAGGUUAACUCGAUGCUGGGGGCUUCACACCAGGGGCGGCAGUGAGGAAGGGCCUGCGCGUUCUCUGGAUGAAACAUUAGCUUGGCCGGUGGCGGGGCGCCCACAGCACACCCAGUCCACCCCCCUGGGGACAGAGGCCCCAAGCAGAGGUGUGGCUCCCAGUUGUCUGUUGACAUCAGUUGGCGUUACCAGGAGGCAGCCAUGUACACAGACGCCCUGUUACAGUGGAAUUUCAGGUCAACCGUGAUUAGUAGUUGAAUGUAAGAUUGUUCCACACUUCAUUGGGCAUCUUUUUUUUUUUUUUCCCCCUGAGACUUUUUGCCUAAAGCAGUGACCUCAAAAGCUGUCUAUACUGGCUUUCCUCUCCUUUUCUGUUUAUUUUCAGUCUGGUGUGCCCUGCCUUAAGGGCCCAGAUGGCACUGAUGGUGAAGAGCCCGCCUGCCAAUGCAGGAGACAUUAAGAGACAGGUUUGAUCCCUGGGCUGGGAGGAUGCUCUAGAGGAGGGAAUGGCAGCCCACCCCAGCAUCCUUGCCUAGAGAAUUCCACGCAGAGGGGAGCCUGGCAGGGGAUGGUCGCAAAGAGUAGGACAAGACGAAAGCAACUUAGCGCUGCCUUAGCAUCUCAAGUAUCAACUGGGCUGAUGACCCUGAUACAAAAGGGUAAAUAGGUCCCUAGCGGUGUGCAGGUCAGAGCUGGUGAUACUUGGGGGAGACGGGUGGGGGGAGGUGAGGGGACC